CACGAUUCGCGUACUUCAUAGCAGCUGGGAGGGGUGAUGAGGUGUCUUAAAACUGAACUCCAUCGGCUUUUCUCUUAGCAGCCUCCCAGCGAAGGGAAAAACAAAACAAAAAACCCCACCUCCCGCCUUUCAGUGAUUGUAACCUGUGUUCAAGAAGUGUCAAUGCGUGAGUGCUUACUCGUUUAACUAACUUGGCUGUAUGUAUUUGAUACGGCUGAUGCUUCUACAGGCUUGUCUACGCAAAAUUUGGGGAAACAGAACGGACCUCUUCUGGCCCUGAUCCAAACCACCAAGGCGCAAAGCAGCUGUAGUCCAGACCUGGGGUAACUCGGUGCAGUGCUGUGCCUCAGCCAACAAGCCCUACCUAGGGUCUAGGCUAAUAAACUGCUCUUAACAUAACUACGCAGUUUCCUGGUCAGAACUGAUGAUUUGCGUUUGACUGCUCAGUUCUCGGACAGCACAACUCUGUAAACGUCUCUUUGGCUUUUUUGUGUUGUUAGAUCAAGGACCGUUGUAUUGUUUUCUGUCUUUGGAAAGGUUUCUGACUUCUUUUGCACAAAGCAUCUUUUGCACACUUUUGAAACCUAGACAUAGGAUAAAGGACAGCAUUUGUUGUCCUUUGAAACCUAGACAUAAGAUAAAGGACAGCAUUUGUUGUCCUUUGGAGUCCUAUGGAGUUAUCCAUAUUUAUUAAAAAAGAAAAUUGCCAGAACUGCAAGUAUAACCCUAGAUAACGAUAUGACCCUAUUCCUAGCUCUUCAGGAAAUUGGUUUCCAACAUGGUCUCAUAUUUUCUAAAAUGACAACUUAUAUAACAUCAAGUGUUACAGGAGAGAACUGAAGGCUUAAAUCUGCCAUGGUACAAAAACAUCUAAAUGAUGGUGUUGACUUGAAAUAAAAGCUAGUCAUGCUUGAUCAAAGUGGGUUAGAGCACGCUUGAGAUUUCUUGGGUUUUUUCUCCUAAAAUUUCCAUUUUCUUACAGCAUCUUCCAUUCUUUUUCAAGUCAUUUGUCUUCCCUUUACUUCUCAAUACCCAGAUUCUAAGCCUUUGGCAAUAGUUGUUGUUUUCUUUUAUGUUUUGGUAGAGUACCGAGGUCAGGUGUGGUUGCAGCCUCCCCAGGACUAUACACUGGUACAGGAGACUUCUGGAUCAUAUAAGCUGAAGCAUACAUACACCAGACAAAGCAUCAGAAAUUCCGGAGAGAGAGAAACUUCACUCAAGGAUAUGACACCUUCUGCUCCUCUGUCCAUGAUCUCCCAGAAGCUUGGGUUCUGUGACUGGUGACAGGUUCCCACACAGAAGUGCUCCAGCUCUGAUCCUUCAGGUGAAACCCUGGCCCCGCAGAAGCCGUCAGGAGUGUCCCCGUGCUGGAAUAUGAUUUCCAAAAGUUUUAAAUGCUCGC